rnacentral:rRNA from 1 species
ACAGGUUAGUUUUACCCUACUGAUGAGUGUUGUUGCAACAGUAAUCCAAGGUAGUACGAGAGGAACUCUUGGUUCAGAUAAUUGGUAUUGCCCCUGGCUGAAAAGCCAAAGGUGCGAAGCUACCAUCUGUAGGAUUACGGCUGAACGCCUCUAAGCCGGAAUCCGCGCUGGAAGCAACGAUGUUUACCUCUCCGAAUUUUGACCGAGUA